rnacentral:rRNA from 1 species
GACGAACGCUGGCGGCGUGCUUAACACAUGCAAGUCGAACGGAAAGGCCCUGCUUUUGUGGGGUGCUCGAGUGGCGAACGGGUGAGUAACACGUGAGUAACCUGCCCUUGACUUUGGGAUAACUUCAGGAAACUGUGGCUAAUACCGGAUAGGAGCACCUGCUGCAUGGUGAGGGUUGGAAAGUUUCGGCGGUUGGGGUUGUACUCGCGGCUUCGUAGCUUGUUGGUGGGGUAGUGGCUUACCAAGGCUUUGACGGUUAGCCGGCCUGGGAGGGUGACCGGCCACAUAGUGCCACGGAUACGGGCCGGACUCCAACGGGAGGCAGCAGUGGGGAUUAGUGCACAAUGGGCCGAAGCCUGAUGCAGCAACGCCGCGUGCUGGAUGACUGCCUUCGGGUUGUAACCCGCGUUCGCCUGUAACGUAGAGUGAGUGACGGUAAUGGGUAAAGAAGCACCGGCUAACUACGUG